rnacentral:rRNA from 1 species
AGCUCCAAUAGCGUAUAUUAAAGUUGUUGCAGUUAAAAAGCUCGUAGUUGAAUUCAAAUCAUGCUGCUCACGGUUCGUGUUCAACACGCAACUAGAGUGGUGCGUUUUGGAAGUUGUGUUCUGCUGAUAAUGCUUUUUACCGAGUGUUAUUGGUGGCCAACAUGUUUACUUUGAAAAAAUUAGAGUGCUCAAAGCAGACUUUAGUCUGUAUACUGUUGCAUGGAAUAAUGAAAUAGGACUUCGGUUUUAUUUUGUUGGUUUCCACAAUUGAAGUAAUGAUUAAAAGGGACAGACGGGGGCAUUUGUAUGGCUGGGGGAGAGGUGAAAUUCUAAGAUCCUGGCCAGACAAACUACUGCGAAAGCAUUUGCCAAGAAUGUUUUCAUUAAUCAAGAACGAAAG